AGUAAGAAAUCGUCCAAGAAAAAGAAGAAGUGAAGGAACACAACACACACAACAGCACAUCAAUAGGGUUUUUUUGAGUUUUGUUUGUGGAGAAACCUUUCUUUGUUUGCCGUUUUCAUUUUUUUCUUCUUCUUUUUC
rnacentral:ribozyme from 1 species